UGAGAUACGUGAAAAUCUAUCCUAGGGA
rnacentral:piRNA from 1 species